GUCUCGAUAGCUAAGUGGUAUAGCAUGCGAUUGCAGUGGACUUGUCACCCAUCGCAGGGUCCGGUGUUCGAACCACCGUCGGGACU
rnacentral:tRNA from 1 species